UUUAACGGUAGCUCUCUAAGCGUAUUUUCAAGGGGAGAACCUGAUCUUGCCGUGGUCGGAGGAAGACGACAAUUCAUGAUGGCAAGAGGGGUUGCACAAUUUAAUCCUAUCCUUGUAAAUGCCACCAAUAUCAUUGCUGAAUUUAACGUUACUGUAAUUCAUUACUAAGGUGUUAUUUACAGACUCAAUUCUCUUGGAUUGUGAAAAAGUCAUAUGAUUUUGCUCCACUUGAUUAGAAUAAGUGUAUGAUAUAUAUAUAUAUGUUGAUUUGAUUAAAAAUUAAAAUUCUCAUACUUGAUCAUUUUACUUUAUUGUUAUAUUACAAAUAAAGAUUAAUUUCUUAGCUACAAAAAGGCAUAUAAAUAUAUCUAUAGAGUAUUUAUCUUCAUCUCUUAUAGAGGUUGUUUUAUGCAAAACUUGACCAUCAUGAAAACUUAAACAAACUAAAGUGGGCAUUGAUGUAUUUGAUUCCUUGGCACUUGACAAUUAUUUGUUUAUUUUGCUCAAUAUAUCAUAACAAGUAUAUACUUGUGUAGAGAUGAAUAAAUCUUGGGAUGUUGGAAUGACUUUAACUUCCAAGAAAUGAUUCAGAUCACUAAGAUCUUUACGAGAGAAUCUCUCGGCCAAAGUUUGAACAAAGUUAGAGAGAAAAGCUUUAUUGUUUUUAUUGACACCAAAUUUGGUCGGAUUCGAUAAACUCAUAUUCGACCAUACUUAGGCCUUUAAUAGAUCGAUAAAUUAAGGCAUAAUAUCAAAUUUAGCUCUCAAUAUUUACAUGUUUUACUCAAUUUAGCUCUUAUCUCUUUUUCUAGCUAAAUUUGAGCUGCAACCUUUUGAAAGGAAUCGAAUUUGACUUCAAACCUUUCAAAAAGAGUCAAAUUGUAGUUUUGUUAUUGGAAAUGCUAACUAAAAUGUUAAACUUUUAAACAUCAUAGCUCUCAUGGCAAUCCACAUGUACUUUAUAUUAAUUUUCUUUUAAUUUUUAUGAAAUUUUUAUAAUUUUACUUUUUUAUAAUUUAUUAUUUUUAAAUUAUUUAUUGAAGUGACAUAUAAAAUAAAAAAUAUCAUAACAAUAUAAAGUACACGUGGAUUGCCAUACCGACAUCAUUAAAAAUUUAUUCUUUUUGUCAUCAUUUUCGUUAAAAAAGAGAUAUUUAUAAGAAUAAAUCCUAUUUUCAACAAAUCUCAGAGUUUUUCAGUUUUUCAUAGAGAGAAAUUAACUUUUCGACUGGAAGUCAACCAAGUUAUCUAUAACACCCAUACCUGACCCGAAAAUCGGGUCUGAGAUAUAGAAUGCCACAUUCGUUGUCGGAGCAACUUCGAUCGAUUACAUACAAAUUUCAUUGUUAAUCAUUUAUUUACAAGUAUUAAAAGCUUAAAACAUAAUAUAUAAUCAUUUCGGGUCAUAUAUGAGCUUAUGAAAGCUCAAUACCAUCCCAAGGUUGAACUAGGAUUGAACUGAAAAGUUUUCAAAAUAUAUCUGGUGGGUAUCGCCUCAUUAAAUAUAGUAGCCAAACUUCCAAACCUGAUAACCAAAUUGCAAAACUUCCAAAAUAAAAUAGGGUUGACAUCAUGACCUCAAGCAAGGGACGUCACAAUGAGAUGGCCUGAGGUCGUGACAUUCAAGUUGUCAAGUUGCAACAUCCAUGGCAGACCACUAAGUUCCUUUUCCAAAGAUACCAACCUAGCAUAUGCAGGUACAGUUUGACCCUAAGGCCCUAUCCAUCCUUCCAAUACAUAUAGAUAUGAUUAAUAUGCCAUUUUAAGUAAUUAAUAUAAAAUUAAUACAUGACCAAAAUCAUUUUCAUAUCUUCACCAUUCAUGUACAUUAGUUUGACCAUUUUCAACAUUUAUCAAGAUAGCCUUAGGUACAUGCCAUUUAACCAAAAUGAAAUGAACUAUACAAACUCAGUUGAGUUGAAUACAAUAGCCCAGAUGCUAACUUAACUUCCUAGGGCGUUGAGGAAAACCUGAACCUGUUCCUGUAACAACUAAACCGUAUCCUAAGCGAUAGGGCUCAGUGGUAUUUUCAUGCUUCAAGAUAGUAUAACAUAACAUUAAUACCAUGAUUUAAUACAAUGCAUAUGCAUAACAAUCUAUAUUUAAACAUUUCAUGUCCUACAAAUACAAAUCAUUUCUCAUCAUCUUCUAAUACAUAUAUACAUACCUAUCGCAAUGAUAAGCCAAUUCAUUAAUCAAUCAUCAUUCAUUAACUUAUUCUCUAGCAAAACAUCAAUUAUGAAUAAAAAAUACAAUUAUAUACUUAAACAACAUGCCAUUCAAUUUUAUAUUUAUUUAACAUCUACCAUUCAAUCCUUUUUCCUAAGUCAAUUUGCUCAUUCACAAUAGUUUCAGCCUUUAGGGCUCAUUUUCGAAUGGUUUGCUCAAUAGCUUAAAUGUUCUUUUUAUCAAAAUUCACAUAGGAAAAUAAGUGAGACCAUAUUAUUAAACCAUUUCAUUUUACGAUAUCAUUUGUCAUGUUUACCAUUUAUAACCCUAUUAACAUGACUCGGACUCGAACAGAUACACAAAAUGUCCAACUAGCAUACCAAACUGGCAUCGAAGAGCAUCAUUGGAUAAAUCAAAGCAGGGCAAAUCGGGCACAUAAAGUGCAUUUUGGUGUAAAAAGUGCAAGUGCAUACUGGCACACGAAGUGUAUCCUGGCACAUGAGGUGCAUCCUGACGCAUAAGCUCAUAAUCCAGUACACAAACCAAUCCUAUAGCAUGCCAAUUAUACUCGAACAACUAAUAGGGUACCAACAUUCAAUCUAUUUUACGAUUCAAUACAUAAAACAUUCUUGACCGCCUAUAAACGUGUUACCGUUUAUAGUAUAAAUAACACAUCAAAAAUAUAAUAAAUAAAUCUGAUGGUGUCGGUAAGCUUAUGGGUCAAAUUUUAAUAUAGUAUGUGUUAUAACGAAACAUCGAUAAGUAUUCUGAAAAUCGUACCUAAGGGAUUGCAUAUUGGAGAAAUUAAUAUUAAGUCAAUUAUAGAAAAUAGGGAAGAACGAACACCCAAAUAUUUUACAUGGAAAACUCCUUCGAAGAGGAUAAAAACCAUGGACAAAUGAGGCUUCAAGUUUCCACUAAAUUUGUAAACAAACAAGAGGACAAUAUCGAGAAAAUAAACCUAAAUGUACUAAACGUACAAACCCAAACCCCAAAAAUAAAGUCCUAACUUGGAAACUAAAUUCUUUACAUAGUUACUACGAAAUUCUCACAAAAAAUCAUAUGCGACUACAUCUUGUCGCCUUUAAAGAAAAGCACUUGUUGAUUGGCUUGUUAGUUUUUUGGCCACUCAAAAUAAGGAUACAAUGGACCCUUUAAAUAGGUGAAGAUUAGAGUUCUAAUCAUACUAAAAUAUCCCUAAAAUAAUCAAAGUUUGACUGAGAGAAUAAGUCCUACUUAGAGUAAAUAAUGUGGUUGCUUACGUGGAGAAUACAUCGCUUGAUGGGUGUCGAAUCCAUAAAAUAUAACUUUUCAUGCCUAAACGAAAUGUAAAUCAACAAUACAAAGAGUAGGGUUGAUCCUACAGGGGUUGAGAUAUCUAAAAUUGUUGUUCAUUUUAACCAAAACAUGUGGUAGGCAACUUUCAUGCCCAUGACGUGUGUCGAGCUAUAUGAAAAAUAGAAGAGAGGGAUUAAAUCUGACUAUAAUAAAAUAACAUAAAUAAAUAACUAUAUAGUAAAACAAACAUUAUGAAAACAAAAUUGAGUAAACUGAUGAGACAACGCUCUAACUUUAGGAAUAGUUUUGGCCCUGGUUUCUAGUUGAUCCACGGCAAUAGAUUUUCACCUCCAACCGAUAAGUCAAUUAUAAUGAUUAAGGAAAAACCUCUAACCACUUGCCUUUUUGUACGUAAAUUAAAUGCGAGAACAAUUCGACAUGUAACACUUAUGAAGUAAUCAACCAUAAAAUUGACUUCUACGAUUUAGUUCCUCGUUAACCAUGCAAACAAGAUGGAAUCGACUUGAAUCAAAGGUCUCUAUUGUGCCGGUCGUUUAAAACCUAUCAAUAAUUCUAAUAAUACUCUAAAAUGACGUGUUUUUAUACAUUAAUCAUGUGUUUAUUUUGAGCUUUAGCCUACUAAUUUGAGCUAUUUAUGUCUAUUUAUCUUUUAGGGACUAAAUUGGAGGCGAAAAGUAAAUUCAAGGGAAAAAGCAUCAAUUUGGAAAUCAAAUGGGCCAAUAUGCAACGUGGGACAAAUAUGGUGCCAAAAGUACGAACAUGGAAGGCACAAGGACUUAAAAGCAAAUAGAAGAGAUUUUAUUUUGGAAGACUCUAUUUUAUUUUAUUUUAUUAGGAUAAUUAAUAUUAAGAUAAUUAUUAGGAUUAUUAAAAUUUAGGAUUUUAUUUUAAUUAUCUUUGUUUAUCUUUAAUUAAAUGUAUUUAUCUUUUUAGAAUUUAAGUUCAAUUAGACUAUCUCCCUAGCACUAUAAAUAGGGGGUGAAGUGACUUUAUUUGGGAUCAUCUUUUUCUGUAAACACUCUCCCCCUGAAAGUCUAGGCUUUUGUUUCUUCAUAUUUUCUUUCAAUAAAAUUCUCUUUUCCAUUUUUAUAUUUAUUUUCUUUUCCACCAUUAUCAUGAGCCACUAAAACCCUUCUAGCCAAAAGUUGUCAAUAUUUCCCCAAAAAGGGUUCUUGAGGCCUAGAAUCCGUACUUAGCCUUCUCACCAAGUAUUCAUCGUUUCUCCGCACUCCGGGCUGACGCUUCCGUCCAUGGCCAUUAAGAAGUAAGCUUUUCAGAAUAUGCAAAGGCGACCGCUUUGUAUGUUUUGGAAGGGUUGCAUAGUCGGUUUGUUAACUUACUGCGUCAGAGGUUGGCGAGCCAAAGAGACAAAAUGGCGUGGGAUUCGCCAUUGAGAAGCGUUGAUCUAGCAUAGAUUACUGGCUAGAGUCAGGUUCCCUAAAAAUCAUAAGUCUAAUCUUUGGAGCUGGUGGUCGUAGGCGUCCUCUUCCGCUAUAAUUGGGUUACUUGAGUCGAGAAGGAUCAUCCAAAAGCCAAGGAUUGAGCCCAAGGCGGAAUGAGACAACCGGAGGCUGGAACUUUCCCAUAAGAAUUUCUUUUCUCUUAAAACUCUCUUUAUUAUUUUUAUUAUUUUCGUAAUCAUAAUUUCAGUAAAUUUUAAAUUCUGUUUUUAUUUUAUUUUUUUUGCUUCCAAAAUCAAUUCUUAAAUUCUGUUUUUUUAUUUUUUCCAGGAACGCAGGUUUUCUUGGGCACGAUUCUGCCUAAGAUUUCGAGAAACAAGCAUUCGUAUAAUCCGGUCCCUGAGGAUUCGACCUUACUUGCCCUUUACGAUUUCUCUUUCGUUAUUUUAUAGGGAAUAGGAUAUUUUUGGUGCUCUCAACGACCGCAUCAAAUUUUGGCGUCGUUGCCGGGGACCGGCAACAUACUAAUCUUAUUUUUCUUUAUUUUCUAUGACCAGAUCUGCUCCAGGUACUCUUGCAUUCGACUCAGAAAUCGAAAAGACUGUUAAAGCUAAUCGAAAGGAAACAAAACUAAGGAAAAAGCAGUCAGGGGUGGUUGGAACUCAAAGCAAUCCACCGCCAGAAAUUAGAAUCAACGACGAAGUAGAGUCUAGGGUUAACGAAAACCCUACUCGAAUGUUAGAAAGUAAAGAAGAAGAAGUCGAUUCACCUGAAGAGGUCAUUGACGCUAGGGUUGACGAAAACCCUAAUUUAGCGCAAUAGCAGAUGGCUCAGACAAUUCGGUAACUGGCCGAAGCGCCGACAGAACAACCGCCACUAUGCAUUGCUUAUCCUACUAUGGAUACUGAUUUUGAAUUAAAGUCAGGCUUGAUUCAGCUACUGCCAACUUUUCGUGGGUUACAAAAUGAAAACCCCCACAAGCAUUUAAAAGAAUUCCAUAUGGUUUGUUUGAGUAUGAAACCUCAGGGGGUAAUUGAGGAUCAAAUUAAAUUGCGCGCUUUCUCUUUUUCCCUAGCAGAUUCAGCUAGGGAAUGGUUAUUUUAUUUACCUCCUGGAUCCAUUACAACUUGGGCUGAUCUAUCUCGUUUAUUUCUUAACAGGUUUUUCCCUGCAUCACGAGCGGCAGAGUUAAGAAGAGAAAUCGUGGGCAUAAGGCAAAAAGACGCAGAGACUCUAUACGAUUAUUGGGAGCGAUUUAAGAAGUUGUGUGCAAGUUGCCCACAACACGGUAUAAUGGAACAGUCUUUGCUCUAGUACUUUUAUGAAGGCUUGAAACCCAUGGAGAUGAAUAUGGUAGAUGCCGCGAGUGGAGGAGCGUUAGUCAACAUGACUCCAUAACAAGCAAGAGACUUAAUCUCCACAAUGGCUGCGAAUUCCCAACAAUUUUGAGCCAAUCCUGAACCCCCUAGAAGGGUUCACUAGCUAAGUAAUUCUACCAUUGAGGAUAGACUUGAUAGACUUACUAAUAUUGUGAAUUCCCUUGUUACAGAAAAAUCAAAACCAGCCCGAGUAUGUGGAAUAUGUGCUACACCUGAACAUACGACUGAUGCGUGCCCUAAUCUGUAUGACGAUUCUAUGGCCCAUUUAGAUGCUGUGGGAAAUUUUCCUGGGCCACCACAAAGACGAUACGACCCUUACACCAAUACCUACAACUCAGGGUGGAGGGACUACCCUAAUUUUAAUUAUGGGGCUAAUCUACGAUAUAACUAGCCAUACCAAAAUCGAGCCCAACAACACUCGCAAGAUUCAGGUAAUUCUCUAGAAACUUUGGUCAAUAAAUUAGAAACUAAUGUCCUUGAUUUUCAACAGCAAACUCUCAAUUUCCAAAGAGAAAUGAAGGGUUUUCAGCAGAAAACUGAAGCAUCCAUAAGGGAGUUGACCACAUCAAUUGAGAAAUUAAACUCUCAAGGGAAACUACCAUCAUAAACAGAACCAAACCCGAGGCAGAAUGCGAAUGCAGUAACGUUACGAAGCAGAAAGGUCCUCGAACCAAUUUUUGGCAAGAAUCUUGGUCAAGAACUCGCCCAGGAAACUCCAGAAAACGACGAACAGAUCCGAGCGAAAUCCCCACUACCGAAAAUCCAACCUCCAUUCCCAGGACGAUUAAAUCAGUGUCGAAAAAGUAAGGAAGAUAAGGAGAUACUCGAAACAUUCAGGAAUGUUGAGAUCAACUUACCACUGUUAGAUGCCAUUAGAUAGAUUCCGCGGUAUGCCAAGUUCCUCAAAGAGCUUUACACCAACAAACGAAAACUAACAGUUAAUGAAAAGGUAAGUGUUGGUGAGAAUGUUUCCACAGUGCUACAGCGAAAAAUGUCGGUUAAAUGCAAAGAUAGGGGUAUGUUCGCUAUUCCAUGCAAAAUUGGCCAUUUAGGAAUUAAAAAGGCUAUGUGCAAUCUAGGGGCGUCCAUAAAUGUAAUGCCUUAUUCUAUUUAUGAAUCACUUAACGCGGGUUUUUUGACAAAGACAGGUGUUACCAUUCAGUUGGCAGACAGGUCCAUUGUGCAUCCCGAAGGGGUCCUCGAGGAUGUAUUAGUCAAAUUCAAUGGGCUUAUCUUCCCUGCAGAUUUUUAUGUGAUAAAAAUGGAGGAGGAUAACACUCCUGGGUCUUCAGCCAUCUUGUUGGGGUGACCUUUCCUUAGUACUGCGAAUACUAAGAUUGAUGUACGAAGCGGAACCCUCACGAUGGAGUUUGACGGGGAGAUCGUGAAGUUUAACGUUUAUGGCACUAUUAGUCACCCAAGUGAAGUCUUGGACGUAAACCGUGUCAACAUAAUUGACUCAUCAAUAGAAAAAACUUUUGAGUCAACUUAUAGAGAUAAACCUAAAAUGAUGUUUGAUGAUUUUGAAUCUGUUAAUAAAUUAUUGGCUCCCAUGAAUACUAAACUUCUACCUCCUGUUGUGCAGGCACCAGAUCUGAAAUUAAAACCACUUCCCGAACAUAUCAAAUGCACAUUUUUGGAGAAUGAUGAGACCAUUGCCGACUUAAAAAGGAUCAAACCCUUGGAGGAAAAUACGAAACCAAAGAAAGAGGCGCAAGGCUGAUUAAACCCAAAUAUGGUGGACGUGUUAAAAAAUGAGAAUUUCCAAGCCUAUACAAAUGAAAGAAUUCAUUUGGAACAAUUCCAAUUCUAGUUGAGGCGUCAAGCUAGCGACAUUAAACAAGCGCUUGUUGGGAGGCAACCCAAUCUUUCUUUUUUUUUAUUUAUUAUUUUCCUUUCUUUUUAUUUUUUAUUUUUUAUUUUAUUUUUAUUUUAUUUUAGUUAAAUAUUAAUAAAUUUCUCUUCUUCCAUCUAGGUGAAAUGGAGCGAAAAUACGAAGAAAAAAAAGACAGAAAGUGUGCACCAAAACAACCCUAUCCAUGGUACCAAACAGUUCUAUUCCAGCCCAGAAUGCCAUAUCUCUGCAGCCAAACAAUCUUAUUCCAGCCCUAGAAUCCCUAAAAUCUGCAACCAAACACCCCUUUUCAGCAAAUAAAACCCCCAAACCUUACAUUUUUUUCCCAAAUUUCUCCAUAACCACCGACUCCUCUCUCCUCCACCACCCCUGCCGAUUUCUCAGCCACCAUGGUGAGAACCCGAAGCCGAACCGCCAUUGCACACGUCACCCACCCCGUCUCCACCUCUUGCUGCUUCGCCAUCUUCUUCUCCACCGUGUGCGCCAACUGACGGUAACUACAUGGGGAGUUUUUCUAAACUUUUUUUCUCCACCUAUUUGUUUUCCUUUUACUUUCAUAUCGAGGACUGUAUGUUUUAAGUAGGGGGAGGAAGUUAUUCAUUUUGUUUUAACUGCUGAAUUUUUGUUAUUACUGCUGGUUUGAUUGUUGCUAUUGUUGCUGGCUCUCUAUUUAUUUUUUGGAAUAUCUUGCCUCUUUUCAUGCCCAAGAUUUUACCAGGAAUUGCCUACUGUUUGACCUACAAGUAUGAUUCUUACCUUCUAAGGAAGUUAUGAUUUUUCCCAUAAUUGAUGCCAUCUCCACUGUUUUAUUUUUAUUAGGCUAAAAAUAAUUGUGAUUAAUAGGGUUAAUUCUAUAUUGCUUUUCGUAAAAUUGAUCAAGUUUAAUAUAAAGUGAACACUUAAAAUGAUUGCAUGCUUAAUUAAUGUUCAUGGCUAUUAGGUGAUUAUUGAAACUUAUUUUUGACACUUAAAUUUUUUUUCUUUCCUGAGUUCUCAAGAAUUUUAAAUAUCGUUUAAUUUUUAAUAAAAGUUUUCCAUGGUUAUGAGUACAGCUUAGAUCGUGACUGACUGAGUAACCGGGGUAGGGUGCUUGAGUUGUCAUUCUACUUCGCAUCAAAAGGUUGUGUGACGUGACAAGUAAAACUCCACUAGCCGAGGUUAUGAGUAUGGCUCAAAUCGUGACUGACUGAGUAAUCGGGGUAGGGUGCUUGGGUUGUCAUUCUACUUCGCGUCAAAAGGUUGUGUGACGUAUUGGGUAAAGCUCCGCUAACCGAAAAUAAAUAAUUUUAGGAGUAUGUUGGGCUGAGUAACCGGAGUGGGGUGCUUGGGUUGUCAUCUCUCUUCGCGUCAAAAUGUUUAAUAUAUUCCUAAGUAAAUAAAUAGUAAUAAAAUUUAAAAAAAAAGAAAAAAUAAAAAAAUAAAAAAAAGAAGAAGAAAAAAGUAAGUACUAAUAAAGUUGCACUUCGGGGACUAAAGGAGGAAAUAAUUAAGGUGUCCUAGUAAUUUACCUAAAUAGCAUAACUCAAGUCGAUCUUAAUUUUUGUGUGAAUUAAUUGGAAUAUUUUUUCUGUUUUACUUAAAGUAAGCUUAGAGGUCUCUUUAUUUUUCAUAUGCAUUUUUAACUAAUUUUUAUGAAACUUUGGAGUGGUAUUUCUUUUAUGGCAAAAUCUAGCUUUCACAGUCGAUAGAAACCAUACUUGAGGGCAAGCAUGGGCUAAGUAAGGGGAAUUUGAUAAUACUCUAAAAUGACGUGUUUUUAUAUAUUAAUCAUGUGUUUAUUUUGAGCUUGAGCCUACUAAUUUGAGGUAUUUAUGUCUAUUUAUCUUUUAGGGACUAAAUUGGAGGCGAAAAGUAAAUUCAAGGGAAAAAGCGUCAAUUUGGAGAUCAAAUGGGCCAAUAUGCAACGUGGGACAAAUAUGGUGCCAAAAGUGCGAACAUGGAAGGCACAAGGACUUAAAAGCAAAUAGAAAAGAUUUUAUUUUGGAAGACUCUAUUGUGCCGGUCGUUUAAAACCUAUCAAUAAUUCCCUUGACAAAUACAAUUAUUCAUUUAAUUGGUCACGUCAAUUUGUUCUUCAACACACUGAAUAUGGCAAUUACUAAUUGUUUCGAUUCUUCCAACUAUAUAGAAACAAAGUUUUUAGGCAAAAUGGAAGUUUAAAAUUUUACUUAAACUCAAGCCUGGUGAUAUUUAUAGCAAUAAACCUUUAACCAAAAUUAUAUCUAUGUUUUGUACGAGGUGGUCUAAGUCAAUCCCGACUUUUUAGUGAACGACCUUCUUCGCUAUCCUUAAACCCCGAAUUGCUUUGAGUGUGGGCUUAAACAAAUCGAACCGAAUGCACAGAAUGAAAACAUUUCUUAACUUUCAGUGAAAAUGUUAGUUCUCUCUAUAAAUCGGAAACUAUCACAUUUUCCCAAAAAAUAGAAUUUAUUCUAAAAAAUUUGUCACUACUUUUCCACAGUAAUGGUCGCUAAACUAACUAAAAAUUUGACUAAGGCAAGCGCACCUAUCGAACAGUAGUAUAGUUAUGGUGAGACCGGAAAUAUCGUAUCCAUAAUGACUAAAAGUAUUAGUAAUUACUAUCUUUUUAUUAUCUAGCCUAAGAAUUAAAUGGAUGUUUUUAAACUAAGAUUAACUAUCUAAUUAACUAAGAACACGACAGAGAUUAAAGUUGGAAAAUACUUUUGGAAAACCGAUGGAGAAGACAAUACCCAAGGAAGAAUCCACCUAGACUUCAUUUAUUAAUUCUGAAUUUUAUUCACUUGACUUAAUCCAUAGGAAUCCCUAGCUUAUGUUAAUAUCUCUUUCGAGACUAAAAACAACUAACUCUAGGUUGAUUAAUCGAAAUCUCUUUCUAAUUAAAACCCCUAUUGUCGCAUUAACUCGAUCUAUGGACUCCCUUAUUAUAUUUGACUCUAAUCCGACAGAUUUAUGUCAUCCUAUCUCUAGGAUUGCAUGCAACUCCGCUUAAUUAUAGAAUAUCUACUCUUAAACAGGGACUUUUGCUCCACUAAAUAAGCACAUCAAAACCUGAAUUAAUAUCUUGGAAUAUUAAAGUAAUGAUUAAAACUCAUAAUUAAGAAUAAGACAAGUAUUUAUCAUAUAAUUCAAAUAAUAAUAAGAUCUAUCUUAGGUUUCAUCUCUCUUAGGUAUUUAGGGAGUUUAGUUCAUAACGAUAGGGGAAAACAUCUCAAAAUUGGGAAAAUAACAAAACAUAAGAAACCCAAAAACUUUGGUAGAAAUUGAAUGUAGAUCUUUAGUCUUGAAGUAAUUCCUGCUUCCGAGCUGAUUCCAAUGGCUGUCUUUGAGUAUUUUCUACCUUUCACUCUCUGUGUCCCCCUUGAUCCUCUUCUCGCGUGUUUAAAUAGACUUUGGAAUGCCCAAAAUUGCCCAAAAUUAGCCUUUUCCGAGUAGAAUUAAAAUAGGUCUCGACAGGGACAUGGCCAUGUGGCAUGCCCGUAUAGUGGUUCUCAAGCUGUGUGCAAUUCUGAUAUGGUUUUAAGUCGACACGGCCAUUACACACAGGCGUGUGGUCUGCCCAUGUGUCUCACACGGGCGUGUGGAUUACCAGUGUGGAAGUGUCUAGGCCGUGUGCAACACUGAAAUAAACCUAUAUUUUGUCCGUUUUCGGCCUUUUUCUUGCACUUUUCGCUUUCCUAUUCUCAUCUAGAUAUAAAACAUGAAAUUUACGGAUUAGGAGCAUCAAAUUCACUAAAUCUUAUGAUAAAUCAUCCAAAAAUAUGCCAAGUAUAGGAUUAAAAUAUGUUACUUUUAAGGUUUAUUAUACAGAUUAACAAUACUCUCAAAAUUGUAUAAAUAAUUUAACUUGUAGUCCCUAUUUAUAAAGAAACAGUACAUAAUAUCUAUUCAAAUAAGAUGUAAUCAAAUGAUAAUAUUUUAAUAAAAAAAUAAAAAUUCUACUUGAAGUAGAAUAGGUGGGGGCGGUGGCUUGGCUUAGAAUAUAAUAGUGUUUACCAUCGCUUCCUUUAACUAAGCCUAAUUUGGGCAUUAUUGGGUACUAUUAUUAUAUAUAUAUUUUGAAAUUUUAUUCGACACUUAUAAUUUAUGUAGUUCAAUAUUAUUUUUUAUUUCUCAAAUAUAUCAAUUAAUUAAAACAGUUGUUCUGUAUUAAAAUAUAUUUAAUUACUUUAUUUAAAAAAAUUCAUAAUAAUUAAUUGAUUUUAUUUCUCGCAAGUUAUUUAAUUAUAAUUAAUUAAACAAUAAUUGAAAAAAUGGGCCACCACCUGCUUGCCGCAAAAAACAAAGAAAAUUGAUAUAAAAAACCUUCAUAUCAAACAAUCUUUUCUAAUAAAUUUCUCAAUUCGCUGUGAAUUAGAUCAUGUUUCUGAUUUCUAAUAAAUUUCUUGGUGUUGAUUAUAUUAAAAAAAAGACCACAUAUCAAAUAAAUUUUUCUUAGCAGAAGAUAAAAUAAUUUAUAAUAUCAAUACAUCAAUCAUGUUAAUAAAUAAUAAAUAAUAAAUUAAAGUCAAUGGACAAAUCCACACGAAAAUCAAAACGCAGGGGGAGGAAACUUCCAAUCUAGACUCUGUUGAAUUUUUGGGAUUAAAUUGAAAUUUAAAAGUAUUUAAAAGAAUUCUUGUGUAUGCCUUAAAUUAUUUUUUAUUUAUUUUAUGUAUCACGUUUAAGAUUAUUUAUUUGAUGUAUUAUGUGCUUUUCUUACACAUUUGCUUAUAUGGUUAUAAAAUUUAUAACUUUUAGACAUGGUCACUCCACUCUUACAAGUAAAAUCUAGCUACCCUCUAAGAUCACUUUGUUGAACAAUGCUCACUCACACCGGAUGACAGAAAGGAGGAAAGUUGCCUAUAUGCUACCUCCUCCGGCUGACUUGAAGAAUGCCACGAUCAUAUUUUGGGCACAAGAGCAGUUGAAUGGAAAUUAAGCAAAUCUGUCAACUGAGCUCUACUUAGUUGAUGCUUGUUCUCAAGCACACCUUUUGUUCAAUCAUUCGAGUCAUCUAACAAUAACCCGGAUAAAGUUUUCAUUCCAUGGACUUAUUCAAUUUAAGUAAAGGGAUGUAAUAUCAAUAACAUCUCAACUGACAUUAACUCAAAAAAUAAGUGUAGGAAUCAUCAUGUUUGACUUACUCAAAGAAUUUAUUCUCAUGAAAAUUAAACUAACAUUCAGUUAGACUCGCACACACAUUUCUUUCUUUCUUUUAUCUUUUUCUUUUUUCUUUUGUUUAAGAUAUUGUCGAAUCUUCUAAGGCAAAAUGAGAUCACAACUCAAACAUUCCAUUAUGGUUACACAAUUCAAUAUAUCUCUAAACAAUUAUUUUUCUCUAUUUAUGACACCGUGAUUAGUGUAAUUUAUUGACUUGAAAUAUCACUCGACCUUUUGACGCAAAGUGAGAUGACAAUCUACUGCUCUGCGCAAAAAAUAAAGAAAGUUCAUUAGAGACCAUGUUUCUGAUUUCUAAUAAAUUUCUAGAUUCGCUGUUAAUUUCUGAAGGAGAAUUAGAAAAAAAAGAAAGAAAAGAUUUCAUAUAUCAAACAAACAUUUGUUUGCAGAAGUUAAAAUAAUUUAUAAAAUCGCCACAUCAAUCACAUGUAUAAUAUUAAAUAAAUUAAAGUCAAUGGACAAUAUCCACACGAAAACAGAAACGCUGUCAAGUUUCUUUUGCGUGAUCAAGAUUUGUGUUCUUUUUAAUAUUACCAUGGACAAAUCAAUCAUGUAUUAUAUAAAAUGUUUGGGACAAUAAAUUAAUUUCAUGUCUGUGGGUUUUAUCACUAUAAAUCUUUCUGUUUUCUUAAUAAAAUUGAAGCAACAAUUCUAUAGUUUUCAUCUACAUUUCGCCUCUGAAAUUAUAGUAAAGCAGAGACAAUGAAAGGAACAUUGAUGUUGAGUUGGAUUCUGAUCAUCUGCCUCUCCCAAGUAGCAGUGCGGAGCCAAUACUACUCAGAUACCCUACCAUAUCAUCCCAAGCCACCUAAGGUCACCAAUCUUCACUUCUUUAUGCACGAACAUACGGGUGUUACAGCUGUCGUGCUAACCCAAGCUAACGUCACAAGCAAUAAUUCAUCAGUGACAUUUGCCACCCUAGUUGCCGUUAAUGAUCCCCUCAGGACUGGUCCUGAGCCUGACUCAGAGGUGAUUGGAAAUGUUCAGGGUAUUUCCCUCUUAGCCGGAUCAAAUGCAUCGAGCACGCAGUACAUAGAAUUUGGAUUUAAUACCGGUAAGUUUAACGGCAGCUCUCUAAGCGUAUUUUCAAGGGGAGAACAAGGGCUUGCGGUGGUCGGAGGAAGAGGACGAUUCAUGAUGGCAACAGGGACUGCACUAUUUAACCCUAUCCUUAUAAAUGCCACCAAUGUUAUUAUGGAAUUUAACUUUACUGUAGUUCAUUACUAAGAUGUUAUUUACAGACUCAAUUCUCUUGGAUUGUGAAAAAGUCGUGUGAUUCUGCUCCACUUGGUUAGAAUAAAUGUAUGAGAUUAAAAUUCUCAUACUUCAUCAUUGUACUUUAUUAUUUUAUUACAAAUAAAGAUUAAAUUCUUAGCUACAAAAA
rnacentral:lncRNA from 1 species